CCAUCCCCUGCCAUGCGCCCCGCUGCACCUCCACACCCUGAACCCCCAUCUUCCCGCCCCACUGGCCCCAGUCAGGCAAAUCUUCUGUCUCCUCAGAUCCCUCCAGGAACCAGAUCAAACAGCAACCGGUGGUGCCCGCUGAGCAGUUCCUGUCCAUCCCGCGAUCCCCACAGGCGCCCCAGAGCCGCCAAGUCUCCCUCAGCAGGACAGAGACCGACAAUGACAGCGUCCCCAGCUAUGAAAAUGAGGAGCGGCCCCGUGGGGAUGACGACGACAACGACUAUAAUAACGAGAUCUACAUCCCCGGCUACGUGGAGGUGCUUCCUGACAGCGUCACCGAGACAUCCCCCACGGAGCUGGUCACCUCAGGGCCAGAGCUCAGGGACAGCGUGUCCUCAGUGGCAAUGGGGGAUGAGUACGAGAACAUGCCGGAGGCCCAGAGGGAGUCGCUGGCUGACAGCCUGGAGUACGUCAACAUGCCAGAGCCUGGAUCCAGCCUCCCUGACGCCCACUACGGCGCCAGCGACCGCGAGAGCGAGGAUGAUGGCCCUGACUAUGAGAACCUGAACCGCUGAGCACGAGGUACUGACGCCCCGGCCCCCCGACGCCUGCCCUGCUCCGGCCCCCCGACGCCUGCCCUGCUCC
rnacentral:lncRNA from 1 species